rnacentral:lncRNA from 1 species
UACACAUAAUAUAUCUUCAAACUAAAAAAAAAAAGAAAGGAGAAAAAGUAAAAAAAGUAAAAUAUAGCAUGGCUAAGUUUGCUUCCAUUAUCACCUUCCUCUUCGUUGUUCUUAUCAUCUUUUCUGCUUUUGGUAAGUAUUAUAUACAUGGAAAAUUAUAUUAUUUAUUAAAUUUCAGAUUAUUUGAUAAUCAACCCUGACAUAUUUAUGAAUAUAAUGUAUAUAUAUAAAGAAGCACCAACGAUUGUGGAAGGACAGAAGUUAUGCAAGAGGCAGCCUAAUUCAGGGAGAAAAUAUUGUAUGAAGGAUGGUGAAUGCCGGAAGGUUUGCGUCGAAGCCGAGAAAGCAUUUUAGAACUAUUAGUAGAAUGUCCACUUUGAGUAUAAAAGGCAAAUUCCGCAUAUAUUUACUUUUGGUUUUCCUUCCAAAAAGUUUUAUACUAAUUAGAGUUAGACUUCUUUUUAUAUAUUAGACUUUUUUUUUUUAACUUUCGAUGUGAGACUUAAAUUGAAAUCUUUCAUUAGCGAUAAAAUUAUAUAUCUUAAGGAUGGAAAUACCAUAUGAGUUUCAGCAGCUGCAGGUAGAUGAUUGUUUUUAGGAAGUAGUGUCCAAUUACAAACAAGAUUUAUCUCUUGGUUAGCCUUUUUUCGUCUAUUUUACCUAUUUUAAGUUUAAAAAUUGUCUCUAAUUACCUAAAUCAUAGAUGUGUAUUUCAAUUCUUGUGGUUAAACUUUAUUGUAGGAUGAAAAGUAAAAGACUAAACUAACCAUCGUGUCAUUAUAAAUAGAAAUUCAUCUUAGACUCAGUUCCUCGUACAAUACACAUAAUAUAUCUUCAAACUAAAAAAAAAAAGAAAGGAGAAAAAGUAAAAAAAGUAAAAUAUAGCAUGGCUAAGUUUGCUUCCAUUAUCACCUUCCUCUUCGUUGUUCUUAUCAUCUUUUCUGCUUUUGGUAAGUAUUAUAUACAUGGAAAAUUAUAUUAUUUAUUAAAUUUCAGAUUAUUUGAUAAUCAACCCUGACAUAUUUAUGAAUAUAAUGUAUAUAUAUAAAGAAGCACCAACGAUUGUGGAAGGACAGAAGUUAUGCAAGAGGCAGCCUAAUUCAGGGAGAAAAUAUUGUAUGAAGGAUGGUGAAUGCCGGAAGGUUUGCGUCGAAGCCGAGAAAGCAUUACGUGCUACUUGUGAUUAUACAUUCCCAAGGCGCCGGUGUUUCUGCCACUUUACAUGUUAAUCAACAGAGCCGUUCCAAGACAUUUUUAUGCCCAAUCCUAAAUAAAUA